GAUGAACGCUGGCGGCGUGCUUAACACAUGCAAGUCGAACGGAAAGGCCCAAGCUUUCUUGGGUCCUCGAGUGGCGAACGGGUGAGUAACACGUGGGUGAUCUGCCCUGCACUUCGGGAUAAGCCUGGGAAACUGGGUCUAAUACCGGAUAGGACCACCUUUUGGAUGGUGUGGUGGAAAGUUUUUCGGUGUGGGAUGAGCUCGCGGCCUAUCAGCUUGUUGGUGGGGUAAUGGUCUACCAAGGCGUCGGCGGGUAGCCGGCCUGGGGGGGUGUACGGCCACAUUGGGACUGAGAUACGGCCCAGAAUCCUAAGGGAGGCAGGAGGGGGGAAAAAUGCACAAUGGGCGCAAGCCUGAUGCAGGGACGCCGCGGGGGGGAUGACGGCCUUCGGGUUGGAAAAUCCUUCCGCUAGGGACGAAGCGUUAUGUGACGGUACCUGGAGAAGAAGCACCGGCUAACUACGUG
rnacentral:rRNA from 1 species